GGGCCCGUAGCUCAGCUGGCAGAGUGCCUCGUUUGCAUCGAGGAGGCCUCGGGUUCAAAUCCCGACGGGUCCA
rnacentral:tRNA from 1 species